CGCAGGGUGGAGCAGUUGGCAGCUCGUCGGGCUCAUAACCCGAAGGUCGUAGGUUCGAGUCCUUCCCCUGCUA
rnacentral:tRNA from 1 species